rnacentral:rRNA from 1 species
AAAACAUCACCUCUUGACUAACUAUAAGAGGCCCAGCCUGCCCAAUGAUCAUUUUAACGGCCGCGGUAUCCUAACCGUGCAAAGGUAGCACAAUCACUUGUUCUCUAAAUAAGGACUUGUAUGAACGGCAUCACGAAGACUAUACUGUCUCCUUUCUUCAAUCAGUGAAACUGAUCUUCCCGUGAAGAAGCGGGAAUUUACAUAUAAGACGAGAAGACCCCAUGAAGCUUCAAAUUAAAUAUCAACUGCUACCAUAACAACACCCAAAUCUAGCAAGUCUAAUAUUAGUUUUAGGUUGGGGUGACCACGGAGCAUAACAAAACCUCCACAGUGAAAGAAUUAAUUUUUCUAAUACAAGAAAUUAACGACUCUAAUAAUCAAUACAUUGACAUAACCUGAUCCAAUCUUUGAUCAAUGAACUAAGUUACUCUGGGGAUAACAGCGCAAUCCAUUUCAAGAGCCCCUAUCGACAAAUGGGUUUACGACCUCGAUGUUGGAUCAGGGUAUCCUAGUGGUGCAACCGCUACUAAGGGCUCGUUUGUUCAACGAUUAAAACCCUACGUGAUCU